rnacentral:lncRNA from 1 species
CCGACAGGUCUAGGACGGACAGUUCAGGCAGUCGUCCGCCAUCGAGACGCGAGUCUCGCCUCUCUCGCCAGGCGCAUUGUGACGGUGUUGAAAGGGCGCAUAGCUCUGCAGGCUCAGCGAGAGCAAGAGUAGAGAAGUCGUCACCUCUGGGUCGAGAGAAACAGGCCGUUCUUUCGAGAAACAGGCCGUUCUUUCGAGAAACAGGCCAUCGGUUUCUGUGACCGGCUGAGAUCACCUGUCGAGUUCGGCGUCUGCGAUUGACAGACAGAAGCAUUUGCUUGAGGGAGAGGCAAUAAGAUGAAAGAAGACGAGACACUGAGGAAAAAAGAUUGGACCUUUGAAAGCGAUUGGUACAUAAUAUCAAACCUGAUACUAAUCAACUGAGUUAAAUGAUGCAGGGUGGGUGGAAACUGAAACCUCAGAACGCCGCACAAAUCGCAGACAGGGCUGCUGCUGCACGCAGUCCCCAAAAGUGGAUCUUACUUUUUAGCGCAUGCAUUCACGAAUUAUCGGUGCCAUCUUCGCGUAACAAACGCGGUUGAAUAUGUAAUUCGGAUUCAAAUACGGAUAUACGUAUAUAUCUGCAGGAGGUGUGUCAUCUCCGUUCUCAUAAAAAAGAGGAAAGGCUCGAACGAGCGCUCUGUUGUGUACAGUCCUCAGGGAGAAGAAAAUGAUUUGAGAGCCAUGCUUUCUAUGCAGAACAAUAUGGAUUCGUUGAAACCAGUCCGCUAGGGAAUUAUAUCGGGGCAAAUCAGACGAACGACGUUGGUGUGACUAUCUGCACGUAUCGAUGUUCAUACUCAAGCAAAACGAAUACAUAUUUACGUUCAUGUAUCUGUAUAUAUAAUAUAUACAUAUAUACAAGUACAUAGAGAUACAUAUGAUUGUAUGUAUAAAUGUAUAUGCAUGGGUGUGUACAUGUAUUUGUUGAUACAAACGUAUAUGUGUGGAUCUGCAUUUGUAUACUUAUGUAUAGAAGACACACGUAUGAAUGUGCACAUGUAUAUGUGUGUAUAGAGGAUCCACGUAUGGAUAUAUAUUUACAUGUUGUAUAUGCUGUAUUUGCUUGAAUCUCGUGGGAGAGAAGCUGUAAGAGGUUGAAAAUAGGUUAUCAUCAAGAGUCGGGUUCGUUUGCGGCCUGUGUCGUUUUGCGAGCGGACAUUGUUUCUUGGGUCUCUCCAGAAAGGCUUUCUGUUUCGAGCAAAGACGGUGACGGUGCUCAGAGAUUUGACACAUAGGUCGUCUCUUCCCUCCCUAGUGUCCUUUUCACUGCAUGCAGCAGUUUUGUGGUCCCUGGAAAGGAACGGAGAGACCCAGCGCUAACGCACGAGUCGCGCUCCCAAGGAUUCUUUUCGCUUCCCAAGGCUAGUGAAAUUGGAUCGCGUGAGCAGGUACGAGAACCUCUCUUGUCCUCAUCUGAAGGCCCGCCGCGAAGACGUCAGACUCGCCCCACCUGUGUCUCACUUUAUCGACUCGGUUGUCUUAUGUCCUCCCCAAUCGAAAAUACUUCCGUUUCGAUGAGGAUGCACGUCUGCACACCUCCUUGCCCGUGUGAAUGCAGCCAUGCCUUCACGCAAGCCUCAACGUAUACGCGAUAUGUAUGUGUAUAUAUAUAUAUAUAUGUAUAUAUAUUUCUACGCGGGCAUGACUGCAUGACUUACGGGCGCUUUAUUCUCGUGUACAUGUAGAUGUAUGUAUGUGGGGCUGACGUUUGUGCAGUUUGCUCUCGCGCGUGGACGCGAUUCGAUACAUUUGUGUAACUUCGGACGCAAGGGAUUGUGGGGAAUGCUUGUGAGAAGCGGUUCGGGAGAUCGGCAAAACGCGAGGGGUCGAAGAGCCCGUUGUUUGCUCUGCUCGACGAAUUGAAACCUUUCAAGUCCGUUCGCAACCUGUAAGCCCCAGCCUCCCAAAAACGGCAAAGACGUUCCAGCCAGGAUCCAC